GACAGAGGGUGCAAACGUUGUUCGGAAUUACUGGGCGUAAAGCGUGUGUAGGCGGUCCACUAAGUCGGGUGUGAAAGCCCUGGGCUCAACCCAGGAAGUGCACUCGAAACUGGCGGGCUAGAGUAUCGGAGAGGUUGGUGGAAUUCUCGGUGUAGAGGUGAAAUUCGUAGAUAUCGAGAGGAACACCGGUGGCGAAGGCGGCCAUCUGGCUCGGUACUGACGCUCAGGCGCGAAAGCGUGGGGAGCAAACAGG
rnacentral:rRNA from 1 species